rnacentral:rRNA from 1 species
GGACUACGGCCGCAAGGCUAAAACUCAAAGGAAUUGACGGGGGCCCGCACAAGCAGCGGAGCGUGUGGUUUAAUUCGAUGGUACGCGAAGAACCUUACCCGGAUUUGACAUGCAUGUGGUACUGAUGUGAAAGCUGAGGGACCCUUCGGGGAGCAUGCACAGGUGUUGCACGGCCGUCGUCAGCUCGUGCCGUGAGGUGUUGGGUUAAGUCUCGCAACGAGCGCAACCCCUGUCGUCAGUUGUACUUUUCUGACGAGACUGCCGGGAAACCCCCGGAGGAAGGAGGGGAUGAUGUCAGGUCAGCGUGGCCCUUACGUCCGGGGCUACACACACGCUACAAUGGGUGGUCCAACGGGUCGCGAAACCGCGAGGUGGAGCUAAUCCCAUCAAAGCCAUCCUCAGUUCGGAUUGCAGGCUGAAACUCGCCUGCAUGAAGCCGGAGUUGCUAGUAACCGCAGGUCAGCACUACUGCGGUGAAUACGUUCCCGGGCCUUGUACACACCGCCCGUCACGUCAUGAAAGUUGGCAAUACCUGAAGCCGCUCGGCUAACCGCAAGGAAGCAAGUGUCGAGGGUAGGGCCAGCGAUUGGGACGAAGUCGUAACAAGGUAGCCGUAGCGGAAGCUGCGGCUGGAUCACCUCCUUU